GUUAAGUUAAUAAGGGCGCACGGUGGAUGCCUUGGCACUAGGAGCCGAAGAAGGACGUGACAAACGACGAUAUGCCUUGGGUAGCUGUAAGUAAGCGAUGAUCCAGGGAUUUCCGAAUGGGGGAACCCAACAGGUACUACCUGUUACCCGCAUCUGUUAAGGAUGUGAGGAGGAAGACGCAGUGAACUGAAACAUCUAAGUAGCUGCAGGAAGAGAAAGCAAAAGCGAUUGCCUUAGUAGCGGCGAGCGAAACGGCAGGAGGGCAAACCGAAGAGUUUACUCUUCGGGGUUGUAGGACUGCAAUGUGGACUCAAAGAUUAUAGAAGAAUGAUUUGGGAAGAUCAGCCAAAGAGAGUAACAGCCUCGUAUUUAAAAUAGUCUUUGUACCUAGCAGUAUCCUGAGUACGGCGGGACA
rnacentral:rRNA from 1 species